UACGGGGGGGGCAAGCGUUGUUCGGAAUUACUGGGCGUAAAGGGCUCGUAGGCGGCCAACUAAGUCGGACGUGAAAUCCCCAGGCUCAACCUGGGAACUGCGUCCGAUACUGGAUGGCUUGAAUCCGGGAGAGGGAUGCAGAAUUCCAGGUGUAGCGGUGAAAUGCGUAGAUAUCUGGAGGAAUACCGGUGGCGGAGGCAGGUCUCUGGGCAUUAACUGACGCUGAGGAGCGAAAGCAUGGGGAGCGAACAGG
rnacentral:rRNA from 1 species